CGAUCCCCAUGGGCUUCGGUUCAUGGGGAGAGUGGCAGACGGCUGAGUAACGCGUAAGCAACCUUCCCACGGGUGGGGGACAACUCCGAGAAAUCGGAGCUAAUACCGCAUGUGAUUGCCUCGUGCAGGCGGGGUAAUGAAAGCCUUCGGGCGCCCGUGGACGGGCUUGCGUCCUAUCAGGUAGUUGGUGGGGUAACGGCCUACCAAGCCAUCGACAGGUAGCCGGUGUGAGAGCACGACCGGCCAGAGGGGGACUGAGACACGGCCCCCACUCCUACGGGAGGCAGCAGCAGGGAAUCUUGCGCAAUGGGCGAAAGCCUGACGCAGCGACGCCGCGUGGGGGAAGAAGGCCCGAGGGUUGUAAACCCCUUUUCUGGGGGAAGAUACAAGACGGUACCCCAGGAAUAAGCCUCGGCUAACUACGUGCCAGCAGCCGCGGUAAGACGUAGGAGGCUAGCGUUGUUCGGAUUUACUGGGCGUAAAGGGCGCGCAGGCGGCUGGGUCCGUCGGUGGUGUAAGCCCCAGGCUUAACUUGGGGAGGUCCAUCGAUACCACCCGGCUUGAGGACGGUAGAGGAGCACGGAAUUCCUGGUGUAGUGGUGAAAUGCGUAGAUAUCAGGAGGAACACCCGAGGCGAAAGCGGUGCUCUGGCCGUCCCUGACGCUCAGGCGCGAAAGCGUGGGGAGCAAACCGGAUUAGAUACCCGGGUAGUCCACGCCCUAAACGAUGGGUGCUA
rnacentral:rRNA from 1 species